GACAGAGGGUGCAAACGUUGUUCGGAAUUACUGGGCGUAAAGCGAGUGUAGGCGGUUUCAUAAGUCGGGUGUGAAAGCCCCGGGCUCAACCCGGGAAGUGCACUCGAAACUGUGAGGCUAGAGUAUCGGAGAGGUUGGUGGAAUUCUCGGUGUAGAGGUGAAAUUCGUAGAUAUCGAGAGGAACACCGGUGGCGAAGGCGGCCAACUAGACGAAUACUGACGCUGAGACUCGAAAGCGUGGGGAGCAAACAGG
rnacentral:rRNA from 1 species